rnacentral:rRNA from 1 species
AAGACGAACCGAGCGAACGUUGUUCGGAAUCACUGGGCUUAAAGGGCGCGUAGGCGGGUGCUCAAGUCCGUGGUGAGAUCCUCCGGCUCAACCGGAGAACUGCCUCGGAUACUGGGUGCCUCGAGGGUGGUAGGGGUAUGCGGAACUAUCGGUGGAGCGGUGAAAUGCGUUGAUAUCGAUAGGAACUCCGGUGGCGAAGGCGGCAUACUGGACCACUUCUGACGCUGAGGCGCGAAAGCCAGGGGAGCAAACG